GUCAACUUCCAUAUUACGUUGAAAAUACCAGUUCUCGUCCGAUCACUGCAAUCAAGCAACGUUUAGUACUUGAAAGAGUGAUCGCUUGGGAACAUCGUGUGUGAUA
rnacentral:rRNA from 1 species